UCCCCGUUGCCGGGGCAGUCCAAGUAGAAAAAUUCAACUACUUGCAAGGGUUGCGCUCGUUGAUGGACUUAACCAAACAUCUCACGACACGAGCUGACGACGGCCAUGCAUCACCUGUCACUUGGUUCAAUAAAGCACUCUCGCCUUUCGGCAAAAUUCCAAGGAUGUCAAACCCUGGUAAGGUUCUUCGUUUAGCAUCGAAUUAAAGAACACGAUCCACCGCUUGUGCGGGUCCCCGUCAAUUCCUUUAUGUUUUAGUCUUGCGACCGUACUCCACAGGCGGGAUACUUAACGCGUUAGCUUCGCUACUGGAGGGGUCGAUACCCCCAACAGCUAGUAUCCAUCGUUUACGGCGUGGACUAC
rnacentral:misc_RNA from 1 species